GAUUCCCUUAGUAACGGCGAGUGAAAAGGGAAGUGUCCAGCGCCAAGUCUUGACAUCUAUGGUGUUCAAGAGAUGCGGCGUUAAUGUAUCGACGCAUCAUGCAUUGUUCUUUGUUUCAAGUUCCUACGACCGGGACUUCCAGAGCGGGUGUAAGACCCAUAGAGACGAGGAACCAGUGCAUGCUGAGCGAUGCAUUCUAGAGUCAGGUUGCUUGAGAGUGCAGCUUAAAGUCGGUGGUAAACUCCAUCCAAGACUAAAUACUACAGCGAGACCGAUAGCAAACAAGUACCGUGAGGGAAAGUUGCAAAGCACUUUGAAGAGAGAGUUCAAAAGUACGUGAAACCACUGGGAGGCAAACAGAUGGAACCACGAAGUUGCGCCUCGGUCGAUUCAAUCAUCACUAUUGAUCAAUUGUUGGUGAUCAGGAUCUUUUCGGAGGUUAAUCUCCAACAAUUAUGAUUGAUGGUGWUGGUGCAUUUCGUGCCGGGGAUGCUAAGCCACGUUCAACUAGAGUUGGGACGGCUGUAAGAUGGAAUCYGAGAAAGGUACCCGUUGUUUGCUUGCAAACAAUGGCGUUAUAGUCUCAGAUUGGCACCGUCGCCUAACAUACUGGUUGAURRAAUUUCUCCAAUUGGAGUCUAACCAUGUCUGCCUGUGGUUGUUAGUCGGUGUUCCGUGRUGUUCUUUGCGUAUCUUUCGAUGCGAAAAGACGCCACAAAGAUGUCGGCUARUAGUCRYUUGCGUGACAUGGUGGAACUGUGGCGCGAGUAGGUCGGUCUCCAUCUGACCCGUCUUGAAACACGGACCAAGGAGCCUAUCAUAUACGCGAGUCGCUCGGUCUUGUUUAGGCCCGGGAGGCGGAAUGAAAGUAAAGUUACGAGACUUCGGUCGCAGUAACGGCCCGCCCACUUCGUUUAUUGGCGAUCUGGCGGAGCUGGAGCGUAUACGAUGGUACCCGAAAGAUGGUGAACUAUGCCUGGGCAAGACGAAGCCAGAGGAAACUCUGGUGGAGGUCUGUAGCGAUUCUGACGUGCAAAUCGAUCGUCAGACCUGGGUAUAGGGGCGAAAGACUAAUCGAACCAUCUAGUAGCUGGUUCCCUCCGAAGUUUCCCUCAGGAUAGCAGGCGUUUAUAGUCGCAGUCUCAUCCGGUAAAGCUAAUGAUUAGAGGUCUUGGGGUUGAAACGACCUCAACCUAUUCUCAAACUUUAAAUGGGUGAGAUGGUUGACUUUCUUGAUUGAAGCCAACCAUUUGGAUGCAAAUGCCUAGUGGGCCAUUUUUGGUAAGCAGAACUGGCGCUGUGGGAUGAACCAAACGUCGAGAUAAGGCAUCAAAUGCGUACGCUCAUCAGACCCCAUGAAAGGUGUUGGUUGCUAUAGACAGCAGGACGGUGGCCAUGGAAGUCGGAAUCC
rnacentral:rRNA from 1 species